GGAACUUGUAGGGAGCAUCUUCUUUCUUUGAAAGAGAGAGAGAGAGAUCAAGACUUUGUGAAGUAUGGUUGGAGUCCUAGAGGUACUUC
rnacentral:tRNA from 1 species